UACGUAGGGUGCAAGCGUUGUCCGGAAUUACUGGGCGUAAAGGGCUCGUAGGCGGCCAACUAAGUCAGACGUGAAAUCCCCAGGCUUAACCUGGGAACUGCGUCUGAUACUGGAUGGCUUGAGAUUGGGAGAGGGAUGCGGAAUUCCAGGUGUAGCGGUGAAAAUGCGUAGAUAUCGAUAGGAACUCCGGUGGCGAAGGCGGCAUACUGGGCCACUUCUGACGCUGAUGCGCGAAAGCCAGGGGAGCGAACGGG
rnacentral:rRNA from 1 species